CCGAUCCAAGCCGGAGUCCGACGCUUAACAGACAGAGCCACCAUCACAUCGAUGCUCAUAACAAUUUCAACUCUUCCAUUUCCUCACUAGCUUCUGGUGGCUGUCCACAGCUUCUGUGAUGGGCUAAUCCUGGAACCCAGACCUGGGAUGAAAACAAGGAUGCUGAGCAAAGAACAUUCCAGACAGACACAGGGAACAGUAAAUUGAAUUUGGAGGAGCUGCCAAUCAUGCAAACUCUAAGGAAAAAAUACUGAAGUCUUACGGAAAAAUACAGAAAACCUCCAUAUUGCUGCAUUUAUAUUAUGUUAUAAUUUGAAAUGCCUUGCCUUGAAAUAACUUUUGACAUCUAGAUCAAUGCUGUCCAGUAGAAAUACAAUGUGUGCUAUGUAAAUAAUUUAAAAUUUUCUUGAAAGUACAUUAAAAAUGGAAACAAACAGAUGG